AUGGACGCCGACGCCGACACGGUGGUGUUCGAGGCACCGGCGCACUUCCGCUUCUACAAGAGCGGCAGGAUAGAGCGCCUUAACCGGCCUCCCAUCCUCCCCGCCGGCGUCGACGAGGCCACCGGCGUCACCUCCAAGGACGUCGUCCUCGACGCGGAGACCGGCCUCUCCGUGCGCCUCUACCUUCCCAAGCUCCAGGACCCCUCCACAAAGCUCCCGGUCCUCGUCUACUUCCACGGCGGCUCCUUCCUCAUCGAAUCGGCCGACUCCUCCACGUACCACAACUACGUGAACGCCCUCGCCGCGGCGGCCGGCGUCCUCGCGGUGUCCGUCGACUACCGCCUGGCCCCGGAGCACCCUCUCCCCGCAGCCUACGACGACUCCUGGGCCGCGCUUCAGUGGGCGGCGUCGGCGCAGGACGACUGGAUCCGCGAGCACGGCGACACGGCCCGCCUGUUCCUCGCCGGCGACAGCGCGGGGGCCAACAUCGUCCACGACAUGCUCAUGAGGGCUGCCUCCAACGACGGCAGCCCUAGGGUCGAGGGCGCGGGUCAUGUGUUCUUCCUCGAGAAGCCCGGAUGCGAGAACGCCAAGCAGCUCAUGGACCGCGUCGUCGCGUUCAUAGGCGGCGCCUGA
rnacentral:rRNA from 1 species